GACGAACGCUGGCGGCGUGCUUAACACAUGCAAGUCGAACGAAAAGGCCCUGCUUUUGUUGGGUGCUCGAGUGGCGAACGGGUGAGUAACACGUGAGUAACCUGCCCUUGACUUUGGGAUAACUUCUGGAAACUGGGGAUCAUACCGGAUAGGAGCUCCUGCUGCAUGGUGGGGGUUGGUAAGUUUCGGCGGUUGGGGCUAGUAUCGCGGCUUAUCCGCUUGUUGGGGGGGUAGUGGCAUACCAAGUUUAUGACGGGUAGCCGGCCUGGGAGGGUUGCCGGGGACAAUGGGCCUGCGGUACGCACCAGACGCCUACGGGAGGCAGCAGUGGGGAACAUGGCAGAGUAGGCGGAAGCGUGAUGCAGCAAUGCCGCGUGCGUGAUGACGGCCUUCGGGUUGUAAACCGCUUUCGCAUGUGAUGAAGCGUGAGUGACGGUAAUGGGUAAAGAAGCACCGGCUAACUACGUG
rnacentral:rRNA from 1 species